rnacentral:rRNA from 1 species
GACGAACGCUGGCGGCGUGCCUAAUACAUGCAAGUCGAACGCAGUGGGGACGGGUGCGUAACACGUGGGUAACCUCCCAUCAGAGGGGAUAACACUUGGAAACAGGUGCUAAACCGAUACUGAUGGAUGGACCCGCAGUGCAUUAGCUAGUUGGUGAGGUAACGUCUCACCAAGGCCACGAUGCCUAGCCGACCGAAGCGAGGUAUCGGCCACACUGUGACUGAUUGACGGCCCAGACUCGUACGGGAGGCAGCAGGAGGGAAGCUUCGGCAAUGGAGGAAAGGCUGACCGAGCAACGCCGAGUGAGUGAAGGAGGUUUUCGGAUCGUAAAGCUCUGUUGUUAGAGAAGCGGUAUCUAACCAGAAAGCCACGACUAACUACGUGCCAGCAGCCGCGGUAAUUC